rnacentral:tRNA from 1 species
ACAACAGUCAUUCAAUGGUAGGAUUACCGUCUUCCACACGGAUUAUGCGGGUUCGAGUCCCGCCUGUUGUA